rnacentral:rRNA from 1 species
GACGAACGCUGGCGGCGUGCUUAACACAUGCAAGUCGAACGGUAAGGCCCUUCGGGGUACACGAGUGGCGAACGGGUGAGUAACACGUGGGUGAUCUGCCCUGCACUUCGGGAUAAGCCUGGGAAACUGGGUCUAAUACCGGAUAGGACUCCUGCCUGCAUGGGUGGGGGUGGAAAGCUUUUGCGGGGUGGGAUGGGCCCGCGGCCUAUCAGCUUGUUGGUGGGGUGAUGGCCUACCAAGGCGCCGACGGGUAGCCGGCCUGAGAGGGUGACCGGCCACACUGGGAAUGAGAGACGGCCCAGACUCCUACGGGAGGCAGCAGUGGGUAGUAUUGCACAAUAGGCGCAAGCCUGAUGCAGCGACGCCGCGUGAGGGAUGACGGCCUUCGGGUUGUAAACCUCUUUCAGCACAGACGAAGCGCAAGUGACGGUAUGUGCAGAAGAAGGACCGGCCAACUACGUGCCAGCAGCCGCUGUAA